GCCUGGAUGGCUCAAUCGGUUAAGCAUCCGACUUCGGCUCAGAUUUGAUCUCGCCGUUUGUGGGUUCGAGCCCCGCGUCGGGCU
rnacentral:tRNA from 1 species